UAGCACCCACCCAAAAGUUGAUUUAAGAAUUAAAGGAAUGGGGGCCAGGGGUGCAAUGGCUGUGAUAGCAGCCUGGUUGGUAGUGUAGCAACCUAUUGCUUGUAUGGGUUGCCCUAAGGGACCUUGGAGACAGCC
rnacentral:snoRNA from 1 species